UUCAUGUAAAUUCCUCGUAAACGUUACGAGGACUUAACGUGGAAUUUUACAACGAAUUUACAUCUCCAUAUUUAAAAUAUUAAUUAAUUAUAAUAAUUAUAUAAAUUUUAUAAAACAAUAAUUUUAAAAUUUAAAAUAUUUGAAAUAAAAUUAAAUAUGAAACCAAAUAAUUUUUUAAAAAAAACUAUAAAUUCAUUAAUUAAAUAGAAUUUAAAUUUUUUAUACAAAACAAAAGAAAUUAAAAAAGGAAACUAAAGGCCAACAUCAUGGUCAUCGAAGUAGUUGGCUGAGGGGUUCGGGUCUGUAGACGUUCCUGCUUCGGGAUCCGGCUGGCUCAUCCCGAGAGCUGCUCGUCUCUCCGCCAAAGCUCUCUGCAAAGUUGGAUUUCCCACCGCCAUCACAUCCAGCAAACCCCUCGAGAGAGUCCAAACGCUGCUGCUGGGUAUCCAUGCGAGCCUGCAUCCGGUCGUUGUCCUGGCCCCGUCUCGAAUAGUAUGACGAAGUCGCCCUUGCAACUUCGUUAACGGAACCUAUUCCGACCGUCCUUCCCUUCUUUCUAGGAGCCACCUAUAUGUAUAUAUAUAAAAACGUAUUUAGAGUUAAUAAUAAAAUAAAGAAAAAAAAUUAAAAUUAUUAAAUUUUACCUUCUCGAAGAUCCGGUCGACCUCUUCGGUUGACAACUUGACGGGUAAUCCAUCUGCAGACUGUUGGGUAAGUUGCGUCUCUUGCUCUUCAACCCGAGACGCCACAGCGUUGAAGAGUUUCUCGGAUGCAGGAUCCACAAAAAACCCAUCUGGUGAGGCGUGAGUCAUCUUGAAUAAGUCCGAGAGAGAUGGCAAAACUCCCGUCUUCUCCAACUAAUAAACAACAAUAAUAAAUAAAUUAAAUAUAAUUAAUAAAUACAAGUUUAAAAUAAUGAAAAUUAUAAAUUUAAAUAAAACUUACAGCUUCGAGACGAAUUCCGGCAUGGGGUUUUUGGCCGGUUCUAUGAACCAUGGGCAAAUGGCCAUCUUUAUCCCUCGUUCUUCGGGAAGCGGAGCAGGAGUUGGCUUUGCGGAUGGAGCUGGGUUCGUUCCAAUAGGUGAUGAGGCCAUCCCAUGCUUCCUUUGUGACCCCGCUCGGCUUCCCCUCAUAGCCGUAAAUCUCCCACUUGUCCUUCCAAUCGGAGACGGUGUUGCAAAGACGAGUUUUCGCCUUUGCAAUAAAUUCGCUCUUCACCCUCUCGGUGAUUCCUACGGACCAGUUCCACCUUUGCUGAAAAAACAAACAUUUUAAAAGAUUAGAAAAAAAAUAAUAAUUAUUUAAUUAACAAUAUAAAUAUUAAUAAUAUGUAAAUAUAAUUACCGCAAAACAUUUAAACCACGUCGUCUUGACAUGAUCGGGAGUCAUGGUCCAGUUGGGAUAAGGGCCGUCAUAAUAUCCCUUCAUCGUCUCUGAAACGCUCCGGCUAACACGGUUGUUAGCCCCAAACCUGCAAAUAUAACAAAUUUGUUAAAAAAAUUGAUCAAAGAUUUUAAAUUAAAAAUUAAUAAUUUUAUGUACUUACCAAUGAGUACCCGAGGGUCUAUCGGGGUCCAGAACGUGUAAACCCUCUCGUCCGGGCUGGGCAAGCAAAUCCUCGACGGUGUAUCUUGCGAAUGGUGCAUGAGCUGGCACCCGCAAAUCGGGAUGAACUGCAGCCGGUGGGGCAGGCUGAUCCGGGGCGACAGGUGGAGCUCGUGGGGGAGGCAUCUGAGAUGGAAGAGGAGGAGGGGUCGAAGGAACUCUCCGAGAUGUGUGAGAGUCCGGAACUGUCCCGGAAGAAGACGAUGGACCGCUAGAGGAAGAUCCAUCGCCAAACAAAUCCGCAUACGUAGGUGCAGGAGCUGCUGGUCUCGGUCUAGGAGCCAUCUAGAAAAUU